rnacentral:tRNA from 1 species
GCUGGCGUAGCUCAACUGGCAGAGCACCUGAUUUGUAAUCAGGCGGUUGCAGGUUCGAUUCCUGUCGCCAGCUCCAGAC